AGGGUUUGAUUAUGGCUCAGGAUGAACGCUAGCUACAGGCUUAACACAUGCAAGUCGAGGGGCAGCAUUUUAGUUUGCUUGCAAACUAAAGAUGGCGACCGGCGCACGGGUGAGUAACACGUAUCCAACCUGCCGAUAACUCGGGGAUAGCCUUUCGAAAGAAAGAUUAAUAUCCGAUAGUAUAUUAAAACCGCAUGGUUUUACUAUUAAAGAAUUUCGGUUAUCGAUGGGGAUGCGUUCCAUUAGUUUGUUGGCGGGGUAACGGCCCACCAAGACUACGAUGGAUAGGGGUUCUGAGAGGAAGGUCCCCCACAUUGGAACUGAGACACGGUCCAA
rnacentral:rRNA from 1 species